UAAUACCGCAUACGAUCUACGGAUGAAACCAGGGGACCGCAAGGCCUUGCGCGAACGGAGCGGCCGAUGGCAGAUUAGGUAGUUGCUGGGAUAAAAGCUUACCAAGCCGACGAUCUGUAGCUGGUCUGAGAGGACGACCAGCCACACUGGGACUGAGACACGGCCCAGACUCCUACGGGAGGCAGCAGUGGGGAAUUUUGGACAAUGGGCGAAAGCCUGAUCCAGCCAUGCCGCGUGCAGGAUGAAGGCCUUCGGGUUGUAAACUGCUUUUGUACGGAACGAAAAGACUCUGGUUAAUACCUGGGGUCCAUGACGGUACCGUAAGAAUAAGCACCGGCUAACUACGUGCCAGCAGCCGCGGUAAUACGUAGGGUGCAAGCGUUAAUCGGAAUUACUGGGCGUAAAGCGUGCGCAGGCGGUUAUAUAAGACAGAUGUGAAAUCCCCGGGCUCAACCUGGGAACUGCAUUUGUGACUGUAUAGCUAGAGUACGGCAGAGGGGGAUGGAAUUCCGCGUGUAGCAGUGAAAUGCGUAGAUAUGCGGAGGAACACCGAUGGCGAAGGCAAUCCCCUGGGCCCUGUACUGACGCUCAUGCACG
rnacentral:rRNA from 1 species